GAAUUCGCCCUUAGAGUUUGAUCCUGGCUCAGGAUGAACGCUGGCGGCGUGCUUAACACAUGCAAGUCGAACGGGAAAUAUUUCAUUGAGACUUCGGUGGAUCUGAUCUAUUUCUAGUGGCGGACGGGUGAGUAACGCGUGGGUAACCUGCCUUAUACAGGGGGAUAACAGUCAGAAAUGGCUGCUAAUACCGCUUAAGCGCACAGAGCUGCAUGGCUCGGUGUGAAAAACUCCGGUGGUAUAAGAUGGACCCGCGUUGGAUUAGCUAGUUGGUGGGGUAACGGCCCACCAAGGCGACGAUCCAUAGCCGGCCUGAGAGGGUGAACGGCCACAUUGGGACUGAGACACGGCCCAGACUCCUACGGGAGGCAGCAGUGGGGGAUAUUGCACAAUGGGGGAAACCCUGAUGCAGCGACGCCGCGUGGAGGAAGAAGGUUUUCGGAUUGUAAACUCCUGUCGUUAGGGACGAAUCAUGACGGUACCUAACAAGAAAGCACCGGCUAACUACGUGCCAGCAGCCGCGGUAAAACGUAGGGUGCAAGCGUUGUCCGGAAUUACUGGGUGUAAAGGGAGCGCAGGCGGACCGGCAAGUUGGAAGUGAAAUCUAUGGGCUCAACCCAUAAAUUGCUUUCAAAACUGCUGGCCUUGAGUAGUGCAGAGGUAGGUGGAAUUCCCGGUGUAGCGGUGGAAUGCGUAGAUAUCGGGAGGAACACCAGUGGCGAAGGCGACCUACUGGGCACCAACUGACGCUGAGGCUCGAAAGCAUGGGUAGCAAACAGGAUUAGAUACCCUGGUAGUCCAUGCCGUAAACGAUGAUUACUAGGUGUUGGAGGAUUGACCCCUUCAGUGCCGCAGUUAACACAAUAAGUAAUCCACCUGGGGAGUACGACCGCAAGGUUGAAACUCAAAGGAAUUGACGGGGGCCCGCACAAGCAGUGGAGUAUGUGGUUUAACUCGAAGCAACGCGAAGAACCUUACCAGGUCUUGACAUCCGAUGCAUAGUGCAGAGAUGCAUGAAGUCCUUCGGGACAUCAAGACAGGUGGUGCAUGGUUGUCGUCAGCUCGUGUCGUGAGAUGUUGGGUUAAGUCCCGCAACGAGCGCAACCCUUAUUGCCAGUUACUACGCAAGAGGACUCUGGCGAGACUGCCGUUGACAAAACGGAGGAAGGUGGGGAUGACGUCAAAUCAUCAUGCCCUUUAUGACCUGGGCUACACACGUACUACAAUGGCGUUUAACAAAGAGAAGCAAGACCGCGAGGUGGAGCAAAACUCAAAAACAACGUCUCAGUUCAGAUUGCAGGCUGCAACUCGCCUGCAUGAAGUCGGGAUUGCUAGUAAUCGCGGAUCAGCAUGCCGCGGUGAAUACGUUCCCGGGCCUUGCACACACCGCCCGUCA
rnacentral:rRNA from 1 species